ensembl:lncRNA
UGAUUAUACUAGGAUUGUUUGUUUUGUAAGAAUAGAAUGACAAAAAAAAGAAUAGCAUGGAGGAGAGGGGCUGUCCUCUUCACAGCAAAUCGGUGGACAACUGAUAGCCACAGGAUUUAUAACUGGAUUUAAACCAGAGAACACCUUGUGAAGUGCAUUGGACUCAGAUGAGUGCAAUGACAGUCAUCACAGAAUGAAAUAGGUGCCAGAGAGCCUGGACACAUUGGAAAAGCCACCAGUCGUGGUUCCGAAGGCAUGGUGCUGAGAAACUCUUGCCCGCAAUGUUCCCACACAGCUGAAAGGAGGGAAUGGUAUGGAGACUUGCCCCUCCUGACAACCAG